rnacentral:SRP_RNA from 1 species
GGCUGGGCCCGGCGCGAGGAUCGCCCGUGAACCUGGUCAGGGCCUGACGGCAGCAGCCAUAAGCGGUCGUGGUCCGGCGCCGCCGGCGACCUGGCCGUC